AUUGGAUGAAAAUUUUUGAAGUAGCAAGGAGUUGGACUCAAGAGAAGUAGGAAAAGUGCACAAACAAGAAUCGCAGCCAGUGUGGAGCGCCAAGUUCGCUGUGGAGUUCACUGUUUGACGCUUGAGCGCCAUCGCUAAGGGCCAAAUCCAAGUGUCGCACUCACCACUGAGCGACAUUACCGCUUAGCGCCAGUCUUGUUGAUGAGUUCUCUGUCUUUCGCUUGGGCGCCACCGCUGAGCGUUAUUCUGAAUGUCGCACCUACCACUUAGCGUCAUUUUUGCAUUG
rnacentral:lncRNA from 1 species